CACCACCCUCUGCUGAUCCACCUGCCAAAGCUUCUCUUUCACUCCAAGCUGCAUCUCUAGCUCGACAUCAUGGCUUCGUUGCUGCUUCGUCAACCACAGCUCAAACUCUUCGUAGGCCUUCAGAAGCUGCUCAGCAGCCACCAGCACCAUGUCCAUCUUCACACGGCCUUCUUCCUCUGACUGGCAGAUCUUCUGUUGUCGAGAAAGGAAACUCUGGCUGGCACAGCCCGGCGGUCAAUCCAGAAUGACACCCAUGAAAGCAUCACCAUGAGUGUGGCUGGAAAGUACGUCUGCAGCAGGAAGAAGAAGAUGU